rnacentral:rRNA from 1 species
CGCAGCCGCGGUAAUUCCAGCUCCAAUAGCGUAUAUUAAAGUUGUUGCAGUUAAAAAGCUCGUAGUUGAAUUUCGGGAUCAAUAUGUCGGUCGUGCCUUGGUACGUACUGGUAUCAUUGGUCUCUCCUUUCUGACGAACCAUGAUGUCAUUAAUUUGGUGUUAUGGGGAGUUAGGACUGUUACUUUGAAAAAAUUAGAGUGUUUAAAGCAGGCUUUAGCUUGAAUACAUUAGCAUGGAAUAAUGAAAUAGGACGUUCGAACCUAUUUUGUUGGUUUCUAGGAUCAACGUAAUGAUUAAUAGGGAUAGUUGGGGGCAUUAGUAUUCAAUUGUCAGAGGUGAAAUUCUUGGAUUUAUUGAAGACUAACUACUGCGAAAGCAUUUGCCAAGGAUGUUUUCAUUAAUCAAGAACGAAAGUUAGGGGAUCGAAGACGAUCAGAUACCGUCGUAGU